rnacentral:lncRNA from 1 species
CUUGGCCUAUAUAUUUUCGGCCAUUUGGAUUGUUUAAGGUUAAUGAACAAUUUAUAUUUUGUGAGAAUUAAAGUUCUUCCUUUGUUCUUAUUUUGGCUUUGUGAGACUUAUCAAGCUAGCUUGUGGCGUCUUCCAAGUCUACUUCCAUCUUGAUAAUGUUGGUUCUUACCUUCCAUAGGUAACGGGUCACGUUCCUUAACACCACCACCCCCCUCUUUCCCAUUUCUUUGCAAUCCUUGCCAACAUAAGAAACGGGUCUGACUCUUUAGUCUGGGUUCUUUCUUCGGCUAAGUCUUAGUUCGUAUCAAUUUGGUAUCAGAGCAGGUUCGGGAUUUAAAAAAAAGAAAAGAAAAGAAGAGAAAUUCGGAAAAAAAAGUCUAGAGACCCAAAAUCAUCAUCUAUACCCUCCAAUACCCUUUGGGUGAAAUUUGACGCUAUAAAAAAAUUGACCCAAAAUUCCAAUUUUACCCCUGCACCCCUGCACCCUCAAAACCCUCCCAGAAUUCUGUAAACAUCAUUUUGAGUCAAUCC